GAUGAACGCUGGCGGCGUGCCUAAUACAUGCAAGUCGAGCGAACAGAUGAGGAGCUUGCUCCUCUGACGUUAGCGGCGGACGGGUGAGUAACACGUGGAUAACCUACCUAUAAGACUGGGAUAACUUCGGGAAACCGGAGCUAAUACCGGAUAAUAUAUUGAACCACAUGGUUCAAUAGUGAGAUACGGCUUUUCUGUCUCUUAUAGAUGGAUCCGCGCCGCAUUAGCUAGUUGGUAAGGUAACAGCUUACCAAGGCGACGAUGCGUAGCCGACCUGAGAGGGUGAUCGGCCACACUGGAACUGAGACACGGUCCAGACUCCUACGGGAGGCGGCAGUAGGGAAUCUUCCGCAAUGGGCGAAAGCCUGACGGAGCAACGCCGCGUGAGUGAUGAAGGUCUUCGGAUCGUAAAACUCUGUUAUUAGGGAAGAACAAAUGUGUAAGUAACUAUGCACGUCUUGACGGUACCUAAUCAGAAAGCCACGGCUAACUACGUG
rnacentral:rRNA from 1 species